rnacentral:rRNA from 1 species
UACGAAGGGGGCUAGCGUUGUUCGGAAUUACUGGGCGUAAAGCGCGCGCAGGCGGCCAUUCAAGUCAGGGGUGAAAGCCCAGAGCUCAACUCUGGAACUGCCCUUGAAACUGUAUGGCUUGAGUAUGAGAGAGGUAAGUGGAAUUCCCAGUGUAGAGGUGAAAUUCGUAGAUAUUGGGAAGAACACCGGUGGCGAAGGCGGCUCACUGGCUCAUUACUGACGCUCAGGCGCGACAGCGUGGGGAGCAAACAGG